AUGCUUUUGACUACUGGGGAAAAGGCACAAUGGUCACUGUCACAGCAGCCACUUCAACUGCACCCACUGUGUUUCCUCUGGUACCAUGUGGUUCUGAGACUGGAGAUAUGGUCACUCUUGGCUGCCUUGCCACCGGCUUUAACCCUCCUGCGGUGACUUUCUCGUGGACCAAAGGCGGCACUGCCUUGACAGACUUCAUCCAGUACCCUGCAGUACAGAAAGGCGAUGCUUAUACUGGAGUCAGUCAAGUCCGAGUGAGGAGACAGGACUGGAAUACACAACAGACUUUAAAAUGUGUUGUGAAUCAUGCUGCUGGGAAUGCACAGACUGCAGUCGAUCCUGUCACACCACCACCGCCAUUUAAGCAGAAUCCAACUCUUAAAGUGUUUUCCUCCUCUUCUGAUGAGGACGGUACCUAUACUGCCUCCUGCUUUGCCAAAGAGUUUGCACCAAAGAACCAUAACUUAAAAUGGCUGAAAGAUGGAGCAGACAUCACCGGCAAAAUAGAUCUGACCGAAACAGUUUCUGAUUCAAAAAAUGCAGCUGGAAAAAUAGUGUACAAUGCAGCAAGUUUUCUCACAGUAAAUUCCACUGGCCUGAAAGAGAAGACUGUAUUUAUGUGUCUCUUUACCGGAGGAGAAGAUGCAUCUUUGAAUAAAACUGUGGCUUACAAAGACAAUACACCAGAUUCUAAACCAUGUAGUUCGUCAGAUGUGAAGGCACAAAUCUUUGGCCCCACAACCAAGGACAUGCUUUUAAAUAAAAAAGGAACUAUAACAUGUAAAGUCAUGGCAGAAAAUAAAAAACUCAAUAUAACUUGGGAAGAUGAGAAAGGAAUUGACAUGGUGAAUAAGCCAAUGACUCCAGUCGAUGGCAUUCGGAACGCAUACAAAUCUGAACUUGACAUCACCUAUGAUGAAUGGACCAAUGGGGUAAAACGCGUCUGUGUUGUUCACCACCAAGAUUUGAUUGAGCCUUUGAGGGAGACUUAUAAAAGGGAUUUCGGAGGAAACCCUCAGCGUCCGUCAGUGUUUAUGCUCCCUGCUUUAGAACAAACUAACAAAGCAGAGGUGACCCUGACUUGCUUUGUGAAAGACUUCUUCCCUAAGGACGUUUUUGUGUCUUGGCUUGUGGAUGACGAGGAAGCAGACUCAAGUUAUGCUUUUAAUACCACAGAACCCAUUGAAAACAAUGGAUUCUAUUCUGCGUAUGGCCAGUUAUUUGUCAGCCUUCACGAGUGGCAAAACAAUGAUGCUGUCUAUAGCUGUGUAGUGUACCACGAAUCUGUGGUUAACACAACUAAAGCUAUUGUCAGGUCCAUUGGGUACAGAACAUUUGACAAAAACCGCAUUGACCUCAACAUGAACAUCAACCAAGACUCCAAGUGCUCGCUCCAGUAGAUGUUUCUCAUGUCUCUGUCUGCUGUCUGCUGUUUAAUGUCUGUUGCUUGUGAUAUGACAUUGUGUUUGUGUGUUUUAAUGCAGAUUCAAAAUAAAAAAAAAAAAACA